GACAGAGGGUGCAAACGUUGUUCGGAUUUACUGGGCGUAAAGCGCGUGUAGGCGGCUUGGCAAGUUGGAUGUGAAAGCCCACGGCUCAACCGUGGAAGCGCAUCCAAAACUGCUUCGCUCGAGUCUCGGAGAGGAAGGUGGAAUGCUUGGUGUAGAGGUGAAAUUCGUAGAUAUCAAGCAGAACACCUGCGGCGAAGGCGGCCUUCUGGACGAUGACUGACGCUGAGACGCGAAAGCGUGGGGAGCGAACAGG
rnacentral:rRNA from 1 species